rnacentral:rRNA from 1 species
CCUACGGGAGGCAGCAGUGAGGAAUAUUGGUCAAUGGCCGUAAGGCUGAACCAGCCAAGUCGCGUGAAGGAAGAAGGAUCUAUGGUUUGUAAACUUCUUUUAUAGGGGAAUAAAGGUAUCCACGUGUGGAUAUUUGCAUGUACCCUAUGAAUAAGCAUCGGCUAACUCCGUGCCAGCAGCCGCGGUAAUACGGAGGAUGCGAGCGUUAUCCGGAUUUAUUGGGUUUAAAGGGUGCGUAGGUUGUUUUUUAAGUCAGCGGUGAAAGUUUGUGGCUCAACCAUAAAAUUGCCGUUGAAACUGGAAGACUUGAGUGUGUUUGAGGUAGGCGGAAUUCGUGGUGUAGCGGUGAAAUGCUUAGAUAUCACGAAGAACCCCGAUUGCGAAGGCAGCUUACUAAACUGUGACUGACAUUGAUGCUCGAAAGUGUGGGUAUCAAACAGGAUUAGAUACCCGUGUAGUC